rnacentral:lncRNA from 1 species
UUUUGGCAAUGUUUUAUUUUAGUUCCAAAACUAGCAAAAAUAUUUUAUUUUUUAAAGAUAGAUAGCACGCUACCCGCUUCGUUUUCUUCAUUUAGAAAUAAACUUAGCUGGAAAUGUGAAUCAACCAGGAUUCGAACUUGAGUCUCGGGUACCAACCACCAAGCCCUUUGCCACUUGCUUUAGGAACGGUCGGUAGCAAAAAUAUUUUAUUGUUCUCCUUAUGGUGAAAUGAACAAUAUUGCUUCCACUAGUGCGCUUUAUGUUCUUAUAUUACGGCUCUGGUAGAUCUUUAGUCCCACAAAUACUUUUAGGUUAAAAGUCAUGUUUAAUACGGUAAAAAAAUUUAUCACCUAAUUAAUAUUAAGGUAGAAAUAUUUGAUUACUUUUAGGUUAAAAGUCAUGUUUAAUACAGUAAAAAAAAUUAUCACCUAAUUAAUAAUAAGGUAGAAAUAUUUGAUUACUUUUAGGGUGCGUUUGGUUCGCAUUAUGAAAGAUUACUAGGAAUAAAAGAUAUCCGAGAAUCUUAUUCCUAUUCAUCAUAUUACUAAGAAUGUGGAAUUCCCGCGUUUGGUUCGCACGGUAAUAUUAAUUAGCCAUGUUAUUUAAUAUUGCAAAAAAUAUGCAAUUAAUUAAUUUAUUUAUUUAAUUAAUUUUAGAUAAUGUUACCAAAAGUUUCAACAUCUUUUUAGAAAAAAGGAAGAGAGAGUAUAAGUUAGAGAGAGAGCAUAAUUGAAAAAAUAGAAAGAAAAAUAUAGUCGAAAUUAGAGAGAGUGAGAGUUGAAAUUUUAGAAAGAGAGAGAGAGAGAGAAAGCUUAGUUUAGAGAGAGAAAAAAAAUUGAAUUUAGAGAGAAAAAUAAGUUUAGAGAGAGAUAUAAGGUUAGAAUGUAAAGAAAAAUAAUAUCAAUUAGCCGCGGGUAGGAAGAAAUAAAGAGAUUAGACAUAUUAUGAUUACCUGAAUCCAUUAAUAUGAGGAUACCCACCUUCCUUCAAGGGAAUGAGAUUAGUACUUUGGGGUGAAUCAUAUUUCCAAGUGAAUCCAAUAUUACUAAUUAGAUUACUUAGUGCGUUUAGUCAAACACCGUCAUAUUUUUUUAUUCCCAUUGGAUUACUAGGAAUCUUUAAAAAAUAGCGCGAACCAAACGCACCCUUAGGUUAAAAGUCAUGUUUAAUACAGUAA